rnacentral:rRNA from 1 species
GACGAACGCUGGCGGCGUGCUUAACACAUGCAAGUCGAACGGAAAGGCCCUGCUUUUGUGGGGUGCUCGAGUGGCGAACGGGUGAGUAACACGUGAGUAACCUGCCCUUGACUUUGGGAUAACUUCAGGAAACUGGGGCUAAUACCGGAUAGGAGCUCCUGCUGCAUGGUGGGGGUUGGAAAGUUUCGGCGGUUGGGGAUGGACUCGCGGCUUAUCAGCUUGUUGGUGGGGUAGUGGCUUACCAAGGCUUUGACGGGUAGCCGGCCUGAGAGGGUGACCGGCCACAUUGGGACUGAGAUACGGCCCAGACUCCUACGGGAGGCAGCAGUGGAGAAUAUUGCACAAUGGGCGGAAGCCUGAUGCAGCAACGCCGCGUGCGGGAUGACGGCCUUCGGGUUGUAACCCGCUUUCGCCUGUGACGAAGCGUGAGUGACGGUAAUGGGUAAAGAAGCACCGGCUAACUACGUG